rnacentral:rRNA from 1 species
AGAGUUUGAUCCUGGCUCAGGAUGAACGCUAGCGGCAGGCCUAACACAUGCAAGUCGAGGGAGAAGCCCUUCGGGGCAGAAACCGGCGCACGGGUGCGUAACGCGUAUGCAACCUACCUUUCACAGGGGGAUAGCCCGAAGAAAUUUGGAUUAAUACCCCAUAAUAUUAUUGGGUGGCAUCAUUUGAUAAUUAAAAUUACGAUGGUGAAAGAUGGGCAUGCGUCCUAUUAGCUAGUUGGAGUGGUAACGGCACCCCAAGGCUACGAUAGGUAGGGGUCCUGAGAGGGAGAUCCCCCACACUGGUACUGAGACAGGGACCAGACUCCUACGGGAGGCAGCAGUGAGGAAUAUUGGUCAAUGGUCGGAAGACUGAACCAGCCAUGCCGCGUGCAGGAAGAAUGCCUUAUGGGUUGUAAACUGCUUUUAUAUGGGAAGAAUAAGGCGUACGUGUACGUUGAUGACGGUACCAUAUGAAUAAGCAUCGGCUAACUCCGUGCCAGCAGCCGCGGUAAUACGGAGGAUGCGAGCGUUAUUCGGAAUCAUUGGGUUUAAAGGGUCUGUAGGCGGGCUAUUAAGUCAGGGGUGAAAGGUUUCAGCUUAACUGAGAAAUUGCCUUUGAUACUGGUAGUCUUGAAUAUCUGUGAAGUUCUUGGAAUGUGUAGUGUAGCGGUGAAAUGCUUAGAUAUUACACAGAACACCGAUUGCGGAGGCAGGGGACUAACAGACGAUUGACGCUGAGAGACGAAAGCGUGGGGAGCGAACAGGAUUAGAUACCCUGGUAGUCCACGCUGUAAACGUUGGGCACUAGGUGUGGGGGCCACCCGUGGUUUCUGCGCCGUAGCUAACGCUUUAAGUGCCCCGCCUGGGGAGUACGGCCGCAAGGCUAAAACUCAAAGGAAUUGAC